rnacentral:rRNA from 1 species
GAUGAACGCUGGCUACAGGCUUAACACAUGCAAGUCGAGGGGAAACGACGGGGAAGCUUGCUUCCCCGGGCGUCGACCGGCGCACGGGUGAGUAACGCGUAUCCAACCUGCCUCUGACUGAGGGAUAACCCGUCGAAAGUCGGCCUAAUACCUCAUGGCAUCGUCUGCGGGCAUCCAACGACGAUUAAAGAUUUCAUCGGUCAGAGAUGGGGAUGCGUCUGAUUAGCUUGUUGGCGGGGUAACGGCCCACCAAGGCGACGAUCAGUAGGGGUUCUGAGAGGAAGGUCCCCCACAUUGGAACUGAGACACGGUCCAAACUCCUACGGGAGGCAGCAGUGAGGAAUAUUGGUCAAUGGGUGAGAGCCUGAACCAGCCAAGUAGCGUGCAGGAUGACGGCCCUAUGGGUUGUAAACUGCUUUUAUGCGGGGAUAAAGUGAGGGACGUGUCCUUCAUUGCAGGUACCGCAUGAAUAAGGACCGGCUAAUUCCGUG